GUCAUGCAAAUCUCAGAUCUCUAAAAAGUUUUCCUCUUUUGUUUCAAUUGUACACAAGAGAAGAAAUAGAAGAUUUCUGAAGGUAGAACAAUCAACAAGUAGAAGAAGAUGAAGAGAAAGAAAUUUAAAGGAUGUGCUUCAACAACGAGCCUAAUGGUCACAUCAGAAAAUAUGUAUUUUGUUUUGAUUUCUUUUUGUCUAACCAACUUGGUUAGCAUGUCGAAGCAUUGCUAGAGAAAUUUAAAGGAUAUGUUUCGACAACAAGCCUGAUGGUUACAUCAGAAAAUAGUUCAAAUUCGAUUACAUCAAGGCAUGAAUUUUGUUUUCUCUAACAACUUGGUUAGCAUGUUGAAGCAUUGCCCGAGGUAUGGAUCUUGACAACUUCGAUUUCUAUUAUCUCAAUUUCUUCUCUAAUGAAGUGAUACCUAAUAUCUAUGUAUUUUAUUAUGUUGUGAAACUGAUGAUUCUUAGUUAGAUAGAUUG